AUUGAACGCUGGCGGCAUGCCUUACACAUGCAAGUCGAACGGCAGCACGGGAGCAAUCCUGGUGGCGAGUGGCGAACGGGUGAGUAAUAUAUCGGAACGUGCCCAGUCGUGGGGGAUAACGUAGCGAAAGCUACGCUAAUACCGCAUACGAUCUAUGGAUGAAAGCGGGGGAUCGCAAGACCUCGCGCGAUUGGAGCGGCCGAUAUCAGAUUAGGUAGUUGGUGAGGUAAAGGCUCGCCAAGCCGACGAUCUGUAGCUGGUCUGAGAGGACGACCAGCCACACUGGGACUGAGACACGGCCCAGACUCCUACGGGAGGCAGCAGUGGGGAAUUUUGGACAAUGGGCGCAAGCCUGAUCCAGCAAUGCCGCGUGCAGGAUGAAGGCC
rnacentral:rRNA from 1 species